GCCUGGGUGGCUCAGUCGGUUGAGCGACUGACUUCAGCUCAGGUCAUAAUCUCACGGUUUGUGAGUUCGAGCCCCGCGUCCGGCU
rnacentral:tRNA from 1 species